CUAGGACAACAGACAGGUGGGGGCCGGUCACCCAGCCAAAAUGCCACGUCAGACAUGCUUUGAACUGCUUGGUGGGGUUUUAAUCUUCGUAUAUCACAAUGUGUUUUACCACCGAGCAUGACUUAACAUUUCAGCGUCAGACUUCCACUGUGUGCUCUUCCUUCUAAAAAUGGCCCUAUCGUCACAGUGACAUCGUUAUGUCCCUAUCAUGUCAGUGAGUGAACACCGUGGCUGCCUUGUGCUUGUUCCUGGUGCUAAAAUUCCCUCGGCCUGGUGCCCCUGCGCUCUGAAGGGAUGUGGAUCUGAUCUUGUGUCCUGACAGAGUCGUUGAGUUUGGAGAGAAGAGAUCACCUAUGUGAAAGGAUCUCACCUAUAAAUGGGAUGUU